rnacentral:lncRNA from 1 species
CUUUCGCAUCUUGUUGAAUCCGGGGCUGCAUUGGCCCUCCGAGCUCUCCGGACUGGCAACGUCGCAGAGACAACAGGUGGAGGAGAUGCCGCUGUCCCGUCGGUCUGGGGACAGCCCAGCUCCCCGGAUCCCGGGCUGGAGAGACGCGUCGCGGCCCCGGGGCCUGGUGGCACGAGCAGGAAGGAGGACCCGGCGGCGGGCUCUGCCUGGGCUUGCCUGGGCUUGUUCCGAGCCGGGCUGCUUCUCGGUGACCACGCAGAUCGGGGGCAUUUGGAGAUUUUGCGGGAGUCCUGCAGCCAAGCUCCGGGGCAGGAGAGGCCUGGAAGCCUGCACUACCUGCUCGCCCCGUCCCAGCAUGCACCCAGGUGCUGGGGAGAGGCAGGACAGGCCUGUCCCCCGAGUCCCCUCCGGAUGCCGUGGACCGGCCAGCUGUGAGUGUUUCUUUGGCAGUGUCUUAGCUGGUUGUUGUGAGCAAUAGUAAGGAAGCAAUCAGCAAGUAUACUGCCCUAGAAGUGCUGCACGUUGUGGGGCCCAAGAGGGAAGAUGAAGCGAGAGAUGCCCAGACCAGUGGGAGACGCCAGGACUUCGGAAGCUCUUCUGCGCCACGGUGGGUGGUGAGGGCGGCUGGGAAAGUGAGCUCCAGGGCCCCAGGAGCAGCCUGCUCGUGGGUGCGGAAGGAAAAAGGCACAGGGGCUUGGUGUGGGCGGCUUUUGGCUGGGAGAAGUUUGCACGUAGGGAGAAUAGUAGCCAGUGUUUGCAGAGCACUUACUAUGCAGGAAGGCCUGUCCUAAGUAUUGUAAGUGUAUUACAUCAUGUACAAGUGUCUGUGAUUAACCCCGUCUUGCAGAGAAGGAAACAAAAGUACAAACAGAAAAUGUAACUAAGCAUGCAAUUAAUAAAAAGGGACCAGGUUUUGAACGCGAGCAAUCUGGCUCAAGAAUCUGCGCCCAACCACCGGCUCCUGUUCUUAGAGAUGAACGUGGAGUCCUGGAGACUGCUCAACAUUGUGACUUGACUGUGAGCGUACGCGCUCCCUGUCCCCAGGAGACAGAUUUCCAGUGCAAUCAUAGAAAGUGCCUGUGUGGGCUUCGGGAGAUGUGUCUGCCUUGGGGAGAAUUUUCCUUUUCAGCUAGAGCCAGGCCCAGGAUGUUGACGUCAGUGAGACGCUGGUGACGUUCUCUGCUCCAGUGGCUGAUGAGAAAAGUUCCUCCAAGCCAGCUCAGUUGAGAAGAAUUAAGUUCUCUGGGUCCCACUGGCUUCACCUACAGAUGCCAACUUUGAGGCCAGUGAACUGUGAGGCCAGCUGGGCUGAUUGCCAUGGCAACAGGAAUUGGACCAAAGUCACCGGAGGAUGGAGAGGGAAGACACAGUGGUGGCUUCCCCAGGUCUUGGACCACAAGGCACAGCCGUGGCCUCCAGGAACCCUGAGAUAACCCGUUAGUGGGUCCUGCACUCCAACAGAGCUCAUGCAAUCAGCCUCUGGUCCUCACCCUCCUCCCAUUGGUGUCGUUGUGCUCUCUAACAUUGACAUUGAGCAGUGAGUGCUCCAGAUCUUGUUCCACUGAUUUUUUCCACUGUUCUCCAGUCUAGCACUUUCUGAAAUUCAUCCAAGCCUAAGAGGUGACGCCAAACGUAAGUGUCUUACACCUCGGACCCCAUGGACUAAGACAAGCCUCUGGGGUCCAUGUGGCACCAAGGAUGGGGCCUUCUAGUACCUUUCACACAGGCCAGGGACAGCACCUGCUGCGACCCCCACCCCCAGCCUCUGCUGCUUCUCCCGUUGCCCUUCCAGCCACUGCCCUGGGCACCUCCCCUGCUCCCGCCUCCCUGCCUGGGCCCAUCUUUCUUUGCACCUCACCAAUUGCGGGGCUUCCUAGUGCUGGAGGGGAAGGGAGCCUGCUUCCAUUCUCACCACUCUGAAAGAAGACCCUGCAGAGAGGUUUUCUGGAAUUUGGAGCCUAACCUUGGCCUUGACACAGUCCAGAUGAGAAGGCCGUCCCCCAGUUAAGCCAGCCCUCCCUCCCUCUCAAUGCUGGAGAGGAAACCAGGCAGCUGGUUGCUUCAGCAAACCCCCUCCCUAUGGGAAUUGUCCUUUUCUUCCUCAAAUAGACUGGAGUGCAGAGGACUUGCUUCAGAGAGAGCCCCUUUGUAACGCACAUUGCACGGGCCGUGCCCCAUGCCCACUCUGCCACAAACUCCCCUCAGCUGCCCAGCCCCGUGGAGCCAGGCGUGGGCUGAAGUGGGGCCAAUGAAAUGCCUGGAAUGCCAGCCGCAGUGACAGGCCAGCACUCAGAUGCCUCUCGGGAGUUCUGACCGAAGCAGCACUGAGGACUGCUUCAGAGCAGAAGUCUACGCCAUUUUCCCCAGUUCUAGGCAGAAGUAAAGAAUGUCUCUACCUUCUCCCAACCAGCAAUUGAUUCAGAGUCCUGAGCUUUUAAAUUAAAGGGACCCCUCUGUUGCUUUAUGCAGUAGCCAGCUUAUUCAUUUGAGUUCAGGUGAAAUCAUUUUCAAGUAACCUCUUCCUAUCCAGCUUUACUUUUAGUUAUGCUGACAUAAAAACAAUAAAAAUUGUCCUCCUCAGAGUUCACCUGUAAAAGUUCCUGGAUAAUUAGUAAGGAAACAGAAAGAGCAGAUAGUUGUUGCUUCAGAUAAAAGUGAUGUCUGGGUUGGGCACGGUGGCGCAUGCCUGUAAUCCCAGCACUUGGGGAGGCCCAGGUGGAUGGAUCCCUUGAGCUCAGGAGUUUCAGACCAGCCUGGGCAACAUCUCUACAAAAAAUACAAAAAUUAGCCAGGCAUAGUGGCAGGACUGUAGUCCCAGCUACUCAGGAGGCUGAGGUCAGGGGAUGGCUUGAGCCCAGGAGGCACAGAUUGAAGUGAGCUGAGAUUGCGCCACUGUAUUCCAGCCUAGGUGACAGAGCCAGACCCUGUCUCAAAUUAAAAAAAACUCUUUGUGGUCAUUUAAUUUACUUCUGCAUUCUUUUUUUUUUUUUUUUGAAAUGGGCAGUGGUACCAUCUCAGCUCACUGCAACCUCUGCCUUGGGGGUUCAAGUGAUUCUCCUGCCUCAGCCUCCCGAGUAGCUGGGAUUACAGGCACCCGCCACCACGCCCAGCUAAUUUUUGUAUUUUUAGUAGAGACGGGGCUUUGCCAUGUUGACCAGGCUGGACUCAAACUCCUGACCUCAGGUGAUCCGCCCACCUCGGCCUCCCAAAGCACUGGGAUUACAGGAAUGAGCCACUGCACUCGGCCUACUUCUGCAUUCCUUAGAGUACAUCCUAGCUAGGAUAUAUUCACUUGUCUUUAGAGCUAACAGCAGAAGAAAGGUACCUAGAUGCUUAUCUAGCUCUUUAUCUUUCUAGAAAUUCUAGAAGAUGAGAGGGGCAGUGGUGGCUCCAAGGGAGUGAUUUUAGGAUGGACUGGGACAGAGAGGGGCUGCUUACACAUACUCACACAGAGGCCAUUAAUUUAGGGAGUUCAAGGUCCAGGAGGUUGACGGCAUCUAGGCCUGUGGCAGAGUGCACUCCUGCUUUGGGGAAUGUAUGGGCAGCUUCUUGCCUGUAGUUGGAGGGUUAGAGAGAGGGAUCAAUAAUUUCAUGGUUGGACUUGAGUUUGGAGCGAGUGGAGUUAGAUACAAAUUCUAUGUUUUUGGAGAAAGUAUUUGAUCUUCUUGGCUGUGAGGCAAAGCGAGGUUUAAAAAUAUUUUUCACUUAAAAAUAUAUAUAUAUGCAUGUAUAUUUAAUACUGUCUAUGGAUUGUGCCAAUAUCUAUUUCAUGGUUUUGAUAUUGUGUAGUUAUACAAGGAGUUACCACUGAACGAAACUGGGGGAAGGGUACACAGAAUCUCUGUACUUUUUUUGUUGUUGUUGCAAUUUCCUGUAAAUCUAUGAUUAUUUUAAAAUAAAAAAGUUAAAGCAUACGUAUUUACAUUUGAUUAAAUGCAGUGUGAUAUCCUGGGUUGGAUUUUGGAACAAAACAAGGCAUGAGUGAAAAAACUGGUAAAAUCCAAAAAAGCCUUUAGUUAAAAGUAAUACCAGUGUUAAUUUCUUAGUUUUGACAAAUGUGCCAUGGCUGUGUAAGAUGCAAAUGUUAGAGGAAACUGGGCGAAGAAUUUGAGGGAACUCUCUGUACUAUUCUUUGCAGCUUUUCUGUAAAUCUACAAUUAUUCCAAAAUAAAAGUCUAUUAAAAAUGUAAGUAUACACACACACAUUUAUAUUUGAACACAUCUAGGCAGCCAAUGCCCUUAAAGAAGGCACUUUCUUCAAACGAUGCCUCUGGGAUGGGUGAAUAAUUAAGGGCCCCUUUGACAACUGUGCUGCGGGUUAUGUCACUCCCUAAUUUGGCUGUCUGGGAAGAGGGAACCCUAGAGAGCUUUUAAAACCAAAUAGAGUCCGGGCGCAGUGGCUCACGCCUGUAAUCCCAGCACUUUGGGAGGCCGAGGUGGGCAGAUCACCUGAGGUCAGGAGUUCGAGACCAGCCUGGCCAACAUGGUGAAACCCCGUCUUACUAAAAAUACAAAAAUUAGCUGGGCGUGGUGGUGGGCGCCUGUAAUCCCAGUUACUUGGGAGGCUGAGGCAGGAGAAUCGUUUGAACCCAGGAGGCGGAGGUUGCAGUGACCCGAGAUCACACCAUUGCACUCCAGCCUGGGCAACAAGAGCGAAACUCCGUCUCAAAAACAAAAAACAAACAAAAAACCAAAAAAAAAAAAAAAAAAUAGGAACCCUGAUCACAAGUCAGAGAGAGUUAAUUGUAAUACAACCCCAUUUUCCAGGCUAGAAACUGAGGCACAGUUGGGAACUGAUGCAAUUAGAUUGUAAUUUCCUGGAAUAUUUAAAACCAAAUUAUUUUCUGUUUUCCAAGCAUGUGCUUGUAAACAUACAAAAUACAAAUUGUAGUAGCUGUGAUACAUUAAAAAAAAAAAAACGGAAAUGACCUUUGGUACUCUACUUAGCUCUCAUCAGGAUCCGUGGUUAAAAUUGGUGGGUGGGGUGAGGAUCCAGGCAAAAUGCAAGUAUUAAUUCAGCACUUACCCUGGGCCUUGCACUUGGCAGGAUGCUUCCAGGGAUGCUCAGGACUAGUGGGCAUCAGGGGUUUUUGCUGCCCAGCUUCCAUUCCUCUGCUAGCAGCACUACCAGGUACAGUCCAGGGGCCCCCCACCAAGAUGCCUGCCCUUCCCUGGUCAAGAUGACCCCAACUUCCUGAUGGAAUGUGAGUCAAGAGCUUAGCGUGCAGAGGAAACAUGCUCACAGCUCACUGGCCCCAUUGAGAGCUUGCUGUAUGUAUGUAUGUUCGAGAUAGAGUUUCGCUGGAGUGCAGUGGCGUGAUCUCGGCUCACUGCAACCUCUGCCUCCCAGAUUCAAGCGAUUCUCAUGCCUCAGCCUCCUAAGUAGCUGGGAUUGCAGAUGUGCGCCACCACGUCCAGCUAAUUUUUUUGUGUUUUUAGUAGAGACCGGGUUUCACCUUGUUGGGCAGGCUGAUCUUGAAUUCCUGACCUCAAGAAAUAAUAUUUUUUUGAGACAGAGUCUCCGUCGCCCAGCCUGGAGUAGAGUGGCACGAUCUAGACUCACUGUAAUCUUCGCCUUCUGGGUUCAAGCAAUUCUCCUGCCUCAGCCUCCCGAGUAGCUGGGACUACAGUCACACCCCACCAUGCCUAAUUUUUGUAACUUUGUUAAUAGUAGAGACAGGGUUUCACCAUGUUGCCCAGGCUUGUCUCGAACUCCUGGCCUCAAGUGAACCGCCUGGCUCAGCCUUCCAAAAUGCUGGGAUUACAGGCAUGAGCCACCGUGCCGGGCUGAAACUCACUACCUGAUACACCUCCCGUGUGGGGAGGGUAGGGGGAAGGAGCAGGAAGAGGAGGAGGAGGAAGGGGGCGGGGGGAGGAGGAGGACGAGGAGGAGGAGGAGGAGGAGGAGAAGGAGAAAUGGACUCUCACUCUUCACGCCAAGUGCCCCUCAUUGUGUUCAUCAUCCCCCAAGGCUGAGCAUUACCUGAGGCCACUGUGGACCAGCCCCUUCCUCUUCCUCUGUUGGAACUGAAAACAUCAGAGUAAACUACCAAAUAUGAAGGCCUCUGGACUCCAGCCGAGAAGUGCUUUGUGUACUCCCGAGUAUUUCUGCAGCAGUGGUGCAGGCUGGUGCCACCUCUUCCCUGCCAGGACCCCUUGAUGCUGCACCAUUGCAAAACAAAGCAUGUCUUAGUCUAAUUUUCUUUUCCUUUUUUUUUUUCCUGAGACAGGGUCUUGCUCUGUUGCCCAGGCUGAAGUGCAGUGUGCGAUCAUGGCUCACUGCAACCUUGACCUCUUGGGCUCAGGCGAGCCUCCCACCUCAGCCUCCUAAGUAGCUGGGACUACAGGUGUACGCCAUCACACUUGGCAAAUGUUUACAUUUUUUCUAAAGACAAGGGGUCUCAUUAUGUUGCCCAGGCUGGUCUCUAACUCCUCGACUCAAGCAGUUCUCCCACCUCAGCCUCCCAAAGUGCUGAGAUUACAGGUAUGAGCCACCACACCUGGCUCUAAUUUUCAUAACUGCGACUGAAAUCACAGCUGAUCCCAUCUGUCUUUAAAUUAGUAACCUUGAGGGGGUUGUCUUUCUUGGCCGGCAGUCACUUACUCCUGAAAUGAAUCUGGUUAGAGAGCAAUCUGGUCAGGAGAGGAGAGAUGAGAAGAAAUGAUCAACAAUGUGGGAGCCUCACAGAGUCUCCCCGUGUCUGGCCUUGGAAGCUUCCACCUCGCUCAGAUCAGACCAGGCAGCCGACUGAUGAAAGGCCCUCCUGAUGACUCAGUGGCUCCUGGUGACGUCACUGUGCCCUGGACACCUUUCGGCCUGCCUGUUCCUCUCUCUGCUGUCCCCCAGCAGCAGAGCUGGCUUCAUGGGUGUGCAGCCUGGAUGGCCACACAGGGCCCGGUGCCUGAGGGGUCCACGUUCGGGGUGCGGCUAUGUUGAAAUAUGUGAGGGUUUUUGGAUGAGGGUCCUGUGAACGGAGGAGCUGUCUCUGCCCAGCGGCCUUCCACAGGGCUCGGCUGCAGGCCACGGGGAUGCCACCAUCCUGCACCAGCCCGGGUGGGAUCAGGGCUUGGUACCCACUUCCCAAGAGGGCCGGAGUGAGUAGGGCUGAGUGAGAUCAGAAUCCUCCCUCUCACCAAACCCAGGGCUGCCCCGGGACACACACACAUAGAGAGCCCCAGGCCCCCUGUACAGGCUGCCUCUGGUCCCCGUCAGAAACUCCUACAGGUAGUUCCUCAGGAUGUAGGAAGGGAUCUUACUGGUUUAGUGAGUUGUAUCCAUUUGCAACCUCCGCCUCCCAGGUUCAAGUGAUUCUCCUGCCUCAGCCUCCCAAGUAGCUGGGAACACAAGUGUGGCCCAUCACACCAGGCUAAUUUUUGUAUUUUUAGUAGAGAUGAGGUUUCACCAUGUUGGCCAGGCUGGUCUCAAACUCCUGACCUUAAGUAAUCCACCUGCCUUGGCCUCCCAAAGUGCUGGGAUUACAGGUAUGAGCCACCGCGCGCGGCCCCGCCAGGACUCUCUGCUCGGCUUGGAGAUGCUGUCUUCUCCUUGUGUCUCCACUGGUCUUCCCUGGGUUCUUAUCUGUGUCCAUGUUUCCUUUUUUUUUUUUUUUUUUUUUGAGACAGGGUCUCACUCUGUCGCCCAGGCUGGAGUGCAGUGGCAUGACCUAGACUCACUGCAGCCUCAACCUCCCAGCCUCAAUUGACUCCCCGCUUCACCCUGAGUAUCUGGGGCUAUAGGCGUGCACCACCAUGCCUGGCUAAUUUUUUUGUAUUUUUAGUAGAGAUGAGGUUUCACCAUGUUGCCCAGGCUGGCCUUGAACUCCUGAGCUCAAGCGAUCUGCCUGCCUUGGCCUCCCAAAAUGCUGGGAUGACAGGAGUGAGCCACUGCACCGGGCCCAUGUUUCCUCUUAAGGACACAAUCAUAUUGGUUUAGGGUGCAACCUAACGAUCUCAUUUUAACUUAGUUACCUUUUAAAGACCCUAUCAUCAAAUACAGUCAUAUCCUGAGGUAAUGGAGGCUAAGAUCUCAAAAUAUGAAUGGGGGGCUGGGCAUGGUGGCUCACACCUGUAAUUCCAGCACCUUGAGUGGCUGAGACCAGCCUGGGCAACAUAGUGAGACUCCAUCUCUACAAAAAAUUUUUAAAAAGUAU